AGGUAGAUAGUUCAGUGGUUAGAGUACUUGGCUUGAAGUCAAGAAGACAUCUUCCUG
rnacentral:tRNA from 1 species